rnacentral:rRNA from 1 species
CCCGUCACAUCACGAAAGUGGAUUGUACUAGAAGUCUGCGCGCUAACCCGCAAGGGGAGCAGCGGCCCAAGGUAUGAUUCAUGAUUGGGGUG